rnacentral:rRNA from 1 species
AACGAACGCUGGCGGCAUGCCUAACACAUGCAAGUCGAACGAUGGUCUUCGGAUCAUAGUGGCGCACGGGUGCGUAACGCGUGGGAAUCUGCCCCUAGGUUCGGGAUAACAGUUGGAAACGACUGCUAAUACCGGAUGAUAUCGCGAGAUCAAAGAUUUAUCGCCUAGGGAUGAGCCCGCGUCGGAUUAGCUAGUUGGUGGGGUAAAGGCCUACCAAGGCGACGAUCCGUAGCUGGUCUGAGAGGAUGAUCAGCCACACUGGGACUGAGACACGGCCCAGACUCCUACGGGAGGCAGCAGUGGGGAAUAUUGGACAAUGGGCGCAAGCCUGAUCCAGCAAUGCCGCGUGAGUGAUGAAGGCCUUAGGGUUGUAAAGCUCUUUUACCCGGGAUGAUAAUGACAGUACCGGGAGAAUAAGCCCCGGCUAACUCCGUGCCAGCCGCCGCAGUAA